GAGGUAAUACAGGAGACAGCAACAUGGGAGGGGGCAAUACAGGAGGAAGCAACACGGGAGACUCUAACAUGGGAGGAGACAACACGGGAGGGAACAACGCGGGAGGGGGCAACGCAGGAGAUGGUAAUAUUGGAUGGGGUAAUACGAGCGGAGGCAGUACGGGAGAGGGGAAUACAGGCGGGAGCAGCACUGGAGAUGGCAACACGGGAGGGGGCAAUACGGAAGAUGGCAAUACUGAAGGGGAUAACACAGGCGGGAGCAACACUGGAGAUGGCAACACGGGAGGGGGCAACAUAGGAGAUGACAAUACUGGAGGGGACAACCUAGGUGGGACCAACACCGGAGGUAGCAAUACUGGAGGAGACAACACAGGCGGGGUUAAUACGGGAGAUGGCAAUACUGGAGGGGACAAUACGGGAGAUAGCAGUGUUGGAGGGGGCAAUACUGGAGAUGGCAAUGCUGGAGGGGGUAAUAUAGGAGGGGGAAACACAGGAGAAGGGACCACAGAAGGUAACACGAGAGGGGGAAAUACAGGAGGGGACAACAAUGAAGGGAGCAAUACGGGAGGGGACAAUAUGGGGAAUGGCAACACAGGAGGAGGGAAUACAAGAGGAGCAAUCGGGAACGGAAGUUCUGGAGAGAACGAAGGAAGUGUGACGGACUCUCCCUCUGACUUGACAACAGAGAGGGUUGGAGCAGCUACGGAUGAAGAGAGUGGUGGAAUGACACUUGGGUUAAUAAUUCUAUGUGUGUGUAUCGGCAUUGGAAUAUUGCUGCUUGUGGUGAUCAUUCUUGCUGUGUACUGCAGACGCAAAAAGACAAAGACUGAAAAAACGCAGACAAGCAUCAGGAAAAAUAUAGAGGUCACUGGCUCAGCUGGGGCAGAUUCAUAUAACAGAGGAAUAGGACAUCAAGAUUUUGUUGAUUUGGAAGCAAAUAAAAUCUCACAACACCCUCCUGCUUCAGACAAAUCAUUCCAAACAGAUCUAUCAACUAGCAGUUAUGACGAAAUUAUUAUUCAGUCUCGCUCUAAUGAUGAAGACAUUGCUGCUCUUUAUGCUAAACCUAUGAAAAAUGAGAAGAGCAUUCAAGCAAGUGGCAGCGGUGUGAAACCACCAAUUAUAACCAAGGAAGCUAUAUACGAUGAUCCCAUAGCAGCUGGACCAAAACUUCGAAAACAAAGUACACGAUCUUCUCAAGGACCACGCAAUAGACGAAGAUCGACAUUACGCGAACAAAAUAGAAUGCGCAGAGCUGCUAGUGAAGAUGCUUUGGAUGACUUGAGACGCAAACAAUAUAAUCUUGACAGUGAUUCUAGUACAUCAGAGCCAGAACUAGAAAUGGUUAGGAGAAGCUCUCUUGCUUCACUCUCUGGCUUAGAUGAGGUCACUAUGCGACCUGAAACAGCCACAGAUCUUACUGACGUCACUGAUUCGGGAGGUGAUACAGACAUUGAUUGGGAAAACCAUUCUGCCAUAUCUAUUUAACAACGUCAAUAACAUACUUUCCUGUAGAUAUUAGUUUAAACGAAAAUAGUGCUUAGAUGAUGAUUAGUUCUACAUGGUUUUUCAUGAGUGCUUGAAAUAUACAUUUCCACACAUAGUCAAUCAUGUCCAUUGUGCCUAGAAUAUCUAGGCAUGCCACGUGACCUACUUGACAUUUUUUAAAUUCUAUCUUAACACUCUUUCGCUAUGUGCGUAAAUGAAUUAAGGCUAGCUUCAAUGGUUCUCGUGCAAUAAAUAACCCACAAAUUAUUGACUCCUAUGCUUAAAUCCUUUAGCCAUAACAUUUCAAAACAGAAUAGAGAAAAGUCAUGAUCAGUUAACAGUUCUUGUUUCCUUGGCUUAAAAAUGUAGUAAUCAUUAAUGGUAUAGAAAGACAAGGCUGUUUAUACCCGAGUUCUUUAGCUUGAUGACAGCUAAAUGUGCUCGCCAUUGACUAUAUGUGAUUGUGAUAUCUAUCUUAUCAUUGUAUUCUAAAAAGAUUUGAAAAGUGAUGUCAUAUCAUAGACUCGCUGAUUAAAAGGAUAUUUUUUGUAUUUAUUAUGCAUGUGACUUAUCUUAGUUUAAAGUCUUGAUCUAACAAGGGCGACCAUUAUGUUUGACCCAUGUGAGUACGUUUUUAAACCUUUCCAAAAUAAAAAGAAUGGCGCUGUCUUAAAACACAUUUCUAAGAGACCUAUACCUUGGACUAUGAUUAGAGAGCCACACUUACUACAAAUUGCAUAAAGAUUUACCCAAAUUACGAAUCUAUUAAAAGUGCUAUCUCACCUAACCUCACCAUAGUCACGCGGUUAUGAAAUGUCAACUUUCAACAUCAUCAUAGUAUUUCAAAUGAAAUAUGAGUGAAAAGGACCUUUCCUUUUCACAAAAAUGUAAUUCUGGUGUAAAUUUUGAAGUUUGGCCAAGGUUGGUCAAACUUAUGUGUCUGGUAUCUACUCAAAUUUGAUUGGUUAAAAACACAAGAUUUUAUUUGAGUUGAGUGGAAAUCUUCUGGCUCCAAUUGGUGGUUAAUGAUAGAACGUUUGGCUAUCUCGCCCCUGCCUCGCAUAACCAUAUGAAGUAUAUUUAUUUCAUAUUUCGUGAACUCAUAUAAUAUUCUUAUGCAGAAAAUG
rnacentral:misc_RNA from 1 species